rnacentral:rRNA from 1 species
CCGCGAUAAGUGAGGAUUUCUGGAAUGGUUCCUGACUAAAAUCUAUAUGGCCUCUGGAUUGGACUGCGGCCGAUCAGGCUGUUGGUGAGGUAAUGGCCCACCAAACCUGUAACCGGUACGGGCUCUGAGAGGAGGAGCCCGGAGAUGGGCACUGAGACAAGGGCCCAGGCCCUAUGGGGCGCAGCAGGCGCGAAACCUCUGCAAUAGGCGAAAGCCUGACAGGGUUACUCUGAGUGACUUUCGCUAAGAAAGUCUUUUGGCACCUCUAAAAAGGGUGCAGAAUAAGGGGUGGGCAAGUCUGGUGUCAGCCGCCGCGGUAAUACCAGCACCCCGAGUGGUCGGGACGAUUAUUGGGCCUAAAGCAUCCGUAGCCGGUUCUGCAAGUCCCCCGUUAAAUCCAGCUGCUCAACAGAUGGGCCGCGGAGGAUACUACAGAGCUAGGAGGCAGGAGAGGCAAGCGGUACUCAGUGGGUAGGGGUAAAAUCCGUUGAUCCAUUGAAGACCACCAGUGGCGAAGGCGGCUUGCCAGAAUGCGCUCGACGGUGAGGGAUGAAAGCUGGGGGAGCAAACCGGAUUAGAUACCCGGGUAGUCCCAGCCGUAAACGAUGCAGACUCGGUGAUGGGUUGGCUUCGCGCUAACCCAGUGCCGCAGGGAAGCCGUUAAGUCUGCCGCCUGGGUAGUACGGUCGCAAGACUGAAACUUAAAGGAAUUGGCGGGGGAGCACCACAAGGGGUGAA